rnacentral:lncRNA from 1 species
UGGAUUAUAACGUGGCAAGCAGGCUAAAAAUAGUCUUCAUAUAUUUUUCUAAAACACUUACAAUUAACAACUAAUUGAAUAACCGAAACGUGAUGAAGGUAAUAGUGAAGGUUAAGGCCAAAUAACAAAAAAAAAAAAACGGAUAAUAAUAAUGGAUGAGUGUAUGGUUUUGUAUAUAAUAUAUAGUUGGUCCACGAUUCUUGAACCUUUUUGAGUCCGGCAAGACAAUUUUUAUACAUGAUCUAAUAUUAUGAGAGAAUAGUUUGAUGUAACACCUAUUUGUAUUUUUGGGUUGUUAAUACCAUUUUCCAAGAUGUUAAAUGUGUGAACACAAUUUUCGAUUUUAGUCUUAUGAGAAUAUAUAAAGUACCCAUCGUAAG